rnacentral:rRNA from 1 species
AUGAACGCUAGCGACAGGCUUAACACAUGCAAGUCGAGGGGCAGCACAGGUAGCAAUACCGGGUGGCGACCGGCGCACGGGUGAGUAACGCGUAUGCAACUUGCCUAUCAGAGGGGGAUAACCCGGCGAAAGUCGGACUAAUACCGCAUGAAGCAGGGAUCCCGCAUGGGAAUAUUUGCUAAAGAUUCAUCGCUGAUAGAUAGGCAUGCGUUCCAUUAGGCAGUUGGCGGGGUAACGGCCCACCAAACCGACGAUGGAUAGGGGUUCUGAGAGGAAGGUCCCCCACAUUGGUACUGAGACACGGACCAAACUCCUACGGGAGGCAGCAGUGAGGAAUAUUGGUCAAUGGCCGAGAGGCUGAACCAGCCAAGUCGCGUGAGGGAUGAAGGUUCUAUGGAUCGUAAACCUCUUUUAUAAGGGAAUAAAGUGCGGGACGUGUCCCGUUUUGUAUGUACCUUAUGAAUAAGGAUCGGCUAACUCCGUGCCAGCAGCCGCGGUAAUACGGAGGAUCCGAGCGUUAUCCGGAUUUAUUGGGUUUAAAGGGUGCGUAGGCGGCCUUUUAAGUCAGCGGUGAAAGUCUGUGGCUCAACCAUAGAAUUGCCGUUGAAACUGGGGGGCUUGAGUAUGUUUGAGGCAGGCGGAAUGCGUGGUGUAGCGGUGAAAUGCAUAGAUAUCACGCAGAACCCCGAUUGCGAAGGCAGCCUGCCAAGCCAUUACUGACGCUGAUGCACGAAAGCGUGGGGAUCAAACAGGAUUAGAUACCCUGGUAGUCCACGCAGUAAACGAUGAUCACUAGCUGUUUGCGAUACACUGUAAGCGGCACAGCGAAAGCGUUAAGUGAUCCACCUGGGGAGUACGCCGGCAACGGUGAAACUCAAAGGAAUUGACGGGGGCCCGCACAAGCGGAGGAACAUGUGGUUUAAUUCGAUGAUACGCGAGGAACCUUACCCGGGUUUGAACGCAUUCGGACCGAGGUGGAAACACCUUUUCUAGCAAUAGCCGUUUGCGAGGUGCUGCAUGGUUGUCGUCAGCUCGUGCCGUGAGGUGUCGGCUUAAGUGCCAUAACGAGCGCAACCCUUGCCACUAGUUACUAACAGGUAAAGCUGAGGACUCUGGUGGGACUGCCAGCGUAAGCUGCGAGGAAGGCGGGGAUGACGUCAAAUCAGCACGGCCCUUACAUCCGGGGCGACACACGUGUUACAAUGGCGUGGACAAAGGGAAGCCACCUGGCGACAGGGAGCGAAUCCCCAAACCACGUCUCAGUUCGGAUCGGAGUCUGCAACCCGACUCCGUGAAGCUGGAUUCGCUAGUAAUCGCGCAUCAGCCAUGGCGCGGUGAAUACGUUCCCGGGCCUUGUACACACCGCCCGUCACACCACGAAAGUUGGUAACACCCGAAGCCGGUGAGGUAACCUAUAAGGAGCCAGCCGUCUAAGGUGGGGCCGAUGAUUGGGGUG